AUGGCUGAUCCGAGCCAGGUUGUGGUGGUGUGGAAUGUACGCGGGAUGAACAACCCGGCGAAAUGCAAUGCUAUAAGUAACGUCAUUUCGGGCUCGGGAGCGAGUGUUGUUUGCCUUCAGGAAACAAAAAUCCAGGACAUGACCCCUGCGCUAGUGCUACAAUGCCUUGGGCUGGCAUUUGAUCAGUUCUUCUACGUGCCUGCGGUGGGGACACGCCGUGGCGUUCUGUUGGCAGCCAAGUCGAGUGGUGUGCAGCUUUCAAACCCCCAUGUCACGGACAAUUCGGUCACGACAUGGGUGCAAUGUCUGGAGUCGGUUGGUUGGUGGUUCACCAGGGUGUACGGGCCCUAG
rnacentral:rRNA from 1 species